rnacentral:rRNA from 1 species
UACGUAGGGGGCAAGCGUUGUCCGGAAUCAUUGGGCGUAAAGCGCGUGUAGGCGGUCCGGUAAGUCCGCUGUGAAAGUCGGGGGCUCAACCCUCGGAUGCCGGUGGAUACUGUCGGGCUUGAGUACGGAAGAGGCGAGUGGAAUUCCUGGUGUAGCGGUGAAAUGCGCAGAUAUCAGGAGGAACACCAAUGGCGAAGGCAGCACUCUGGGACGUGACUGACGCUGAGACGCGAAAGCGUGGGUAGCAAACAGG